GUCAGUGACUUGCUUUCAGGGUGCCUGCUUGGGCUAAGAGGCUCUGCUUGGUGGGCCCUACCUUUGAUUGUUCAUCUGCCUCAGGUACAAGCAGUCAGUUCUCAGCAGGGGCUGAUCGGGCCACCUCUCCUCUUGUGUCCCUCUACCCUGCUCUGGAGUGCCGGGCCCUCAUCCAGCAGAUGUCCCCCUCUGCCUUUGGUAAGCCCUCUUAGGGGAUGGGCCAGCUGGAAGUUGGGAGAGCCUGGAGGAUUUUUGAAGUCCCUGGCCAUCUCUCCAAGUCAGAGGCAUGAGGGAAAAUUUCAGGCCCCAAAGGUUUUCUCCACAGUGGGUCUAGUGGGGCUUCACAGA
rnacentral:lncRNA from 1 species